CUGAGCCUCAGGGGCCCAGGAAGAGUAAGACUUGAGCCGGCUCAGACACUGCCUCCCUCAGCUCCCAGAUUCAGAUCCCUGCAGUCUGAGCAAGCUUCUGGGCCUCGCGUGUAAGACGCACAACGGAAGAGCCUAUCCUCACCACAGUGGUCUCUGGGAAGACAGCUCCUGAAACCCUGCUUGCGAUCGAUGCGGCCUUAGCCGCGAGGGACAGAGGAACACAAGUAAGGCGGGGGGCCGCGGGGCCUCAGGCAGAAGCAAGGCGCGGAAGGGCUGAGGGGCAGCAAGCCCAGGCACGCACAGCGGUUCCCCAGCCUCCGCGCCUUCGGGGACAGACGCGCAAGCGUCGGGGCGCUGGAGGAGCCCAGGCAGGUAAGGGGCCUC
rnacentral:lncRNA from 1 species